UACGCCUACGGGGGGCAGCAGUGGGGGAUAUUGCACAAUGGGGGCAACCCUGAUGCAGCGACGCCGCGUGAGCGAUGGAGUACUUCGGUAUGUAAAGCUCUGUCAGCAGGGAAGAGAAUGACGGUACCUGACCAAGAAGCCCCGGCUAAAUACGUGCCAGCAGCCGCGGUAAUACGUAUGGGGCAAGCGUUAUCCGGUUUUACUGGGUGUAAAGGGCGUGUAGGCGGGAAAGCAAGUCAUAU
rnacentral:rRNA from 1 species